rnacentral:snRNA from 1 species
UACGGUGGCGGCCUAAGCCCGGG